UCAAGCUGAAAAGAGCGCAAGGGGAAUGCCUUGGCAUCAGGAGCCGACGAAGGACGUGACAAGCUGCGAUAAGCCACGGGGAGGAGCAAAUAUCCGUUAUAUCCGUGGAUUUCCGAAUGGGGGAACCCGCUCAAGCAAUACUUGAGCAUCGUGCGUUGAAUCAAAUAGGCGUACGAAGGGAACGGCCUGAACUGAAACAUCUAAGUAGGGCCAGGAAAAGACAUCAACCGAGAUUCCGCUAGUAGUGGCGAGCGAACGCGGAGGAGGCCAAACCGAGGGACGCAAGUUCUUCGGGGUUGCGGACAGACAUCAAGACCAGAGGUAAUUAAGAGAACGGCGUGGGAAAGCCGGCCAUAGAAGGUGAGAGCCCUGUAUCUGAAAAUGAAGACUGGCAGUCUGGAUCCAGAGUACCGCGGGACACGUGAAACCCCGUGGGAAACCGGGUGGACCACCAUCCAAGCCUAAAUACUACCUGAUGACCGAUAGAGGAGCAGUACCGUGAGGGAAAGGUGAAAAGGACCCCGGGAGGGGAGUGAAAGAGAACCUGAAACCUUGUGCUUACAAGCAGUCAAAGCACGUUAACGUGUGAUGACGUACUUUUUGUAGAACGGUCCGGCGAGUUAUAGUAACGAGCAAGCUUAAGGUAUUGAGUACCGGAGGCGAAGCGAGAGCGAGUCUGAAUAGGGCGUAAAGUUCGUUGCCAUAGACCCGAAACCGGGUGACCUAUCCAUGAGCAGGCUGAAGUGAGAGUAAAAUCUCAUGGAGGGCCGAACCGACCCCCGUUGCAAUGGUGGCGGAUGACUUGUGGAUAGCGGAGAAAUUCCAAUCGAACUCGGAGAUAGCUGGUUCUCCCCGAAAUAGCUUUAGGGCUAGCCUCAUGUUAGAUAUCCGGAGGUAAAGCACUGAAUGGCCUAGCGUCCGAGAGGAUAGCGAAGCCUAUCAAACUAAGAAUGCCGGAAUAUUGAUGCAUGGGAGUCAGACAGUGUGAGAUAAAUCUCAUUGUCAAAAGGGAAACAGCCCAGAUCUACAGCUAAGGUCCCAAAUUGUAUCUAAGUGGAAAACGAUGUGGAAAUACGCAGACAACCAGGAUGUUGGCUCAGAAGCAGCCACUCAUUUAAAGAGUGCGUAAUAGCUCACUGGUCGAGCGUCUCUGCGCGGAAAAUUUAACGGGGCUAAGAUACAAACCGAAGCUUAGGCUGCACUUUUAGUGCGGGGUAGGGGAGCGUUGUGUAAGCGGAGAAACAGUAGCGGAAGCGGCUGUGGAGUUUACAGAAGUGAGAAUGCCGGAAUGAGUAGCGCGAAUGAUGUGAGAAUCAUCAUGGCCGGAAACCUCAGGUUUUUGGAGGAAGGUUCGUCCGCUCCAAGUUAGGCGGGAGCUAAGGUGAGGCCGAAAGGCGUAGCCGAUGCACAGACGGUAGAGAUUCCGUCCCCACCGAAAGAUUUAAGCGCAGGGACACUUUUAGAAGGUCGGAGCCAGGUGUUGGUUCUGGUAGAGAUCGAGGGAAGAUUAGUACCGAAGUCCGGCUGGAUAAGAGGCGAGAAAAGCUGCGUGUAUAUCUAAGGUGCCCGUACCGCAAACCGACACAGGUAGGUAGGAAGAAGAUUCUAAGGCCAACGGGAGAAGGGUUGUUAAGGAACUCGGCAAGUUGACCCCGUAACUUCGGAAUAAGGGGUGCUCAUGAAAGUGAGCCGCAGAGAAUAGGCCCAGGCAACUGUUUACCAAAAACACAGGUUUGUGCUAAAUCGAAAGAUGACGUAUACGAGCUGACGCCUGCCCGGUGCUGGAAGGUUAAAAGGAGAUGUGCAAGCAUUGAAUUGAAGCCCCAGUGAACGGCGGCCGUAACUAUAACGGUCCUAAGGUAGCGAAAUUCCUUGUCAGGUA
rnacentral:rRNA from 1 species